AUACCUUUCUCGGCCUUUUGGCUAAGAUCAAGUGUAGUAUCUGUUCUUAUCAGUUUAAUAUCUGAUAUGUGGGCCAUCGGUCCACUCGAUAUUAAUCUAAUUUUUUAUGGGGAAAGGUCCAUCACAAUAGCUUGCUAUUGGGGCCGUUGAGCGUUGCCUUGGUGUUGCACUACUACCUUGACCUGGCGCACCCCUC
rfam:Helianthus annuus linkage group 3, whole genome shotgun sequence.